GCAGUGUUCUCUCCUGAGCGUGAAGCCGGUCCUUGGCGUUGUUUCUGCAGCUGCCAUUGGCCAUUGAUGACCGUUCUUCUCUUCCUUUGGGAGAGUAAGAGGGAGAGGACACCGUCUGA
ensembl:snoRNA U3 Small nucleolar RNA U3